rnacentral:rRNA from 1 species
AACGAACGCUGGCGGCGUGGAUAAGACAUGCAAGUCGAACGGGAUUACUUCUGGUAGCAAUACCGGGAGUAAUUCAGUGGCGAACGGGUGCGUAACACGUGGGCAAUCUGCCGAAAAGUGGGGGAGUAGCUCGCCGAAGGACGAUUAAUACCGCAUAUGAUGAGAGACGACAUCGUUUCGUAAAUACAAAGACCGGGGCGAACCUGGCGCUUUUUGUAGGAGCCCGCCGGCCGUAUCAGCUAGUU